UACAGAGGGUGCGAGCGUUAAUCGGAAUUACUGGGCGUAAAGCGUGCGUAGACGGUAGCGUAAGUCAGAUGUGAAAGCCCCGGGCUCAACCUGGGAAUUGCAUUUGAGACUGCUCUGCUCGGGUGCGGAAGAGGGAAGCGGAAUUUCCGGUGUAGCGGUGAAAUGCGUAGAUAUCGGAAGGAACACCAGUGGCGAAAGCGGCUUCCUGGUCCGACACCGACGUUCAGGCACGAAAGCGUGGGGAGCAGACAGG
rnacentral:rRNA from 1 species